ACGCAGGAAUCUUAGACCAACCCAAACCCGUGCAACUGCAAGUUUCGCCCGGUCUUUCCGGGUCUAGAGAGACAAACAGGUGUACUGAGACUGACUCCACGAUCGGUCUACUAGCGGGUGUUAGUAACACUCAUUUUGCUUCGUAGCGGAGCACAUGAGCGGUGGGACCUCCCCCAUGGUAACAUGGACUCACCGGGCCAAAAGCCACGCCUCACGGCCUCAUGUGUGUGCAACCCCAGCACGGCAACUUGUUUGUGAAACCCACCUUAAGGUAACACUGAGACUGGUACUUGGUUUCUGGAGACAGGCUAAGGAUGCCCUUCAGGUACCCCGAGGUAACACGAGACACUCGGGAUCUGAGAAGGGGACCAGGAGUUCUUUAAAACUGCCUGGUUUAAAAAGCUUCUAUGCCUGAAUAGGUGACCGGAGGCCGGCACCUUUUCCUUUAUCAAUACUACAUU
rfam:Foot-and-mouth disease virus SAT 1 isolate sat1rhod iso33, complete genome.